rnacentral:rRNA from 1 species
UCCGCGACAUUCUGAUUCGCGAUUACUAGCGAUUCCAGCUUCAUGUAGUCGAGUUGCAGACUACAAUCCGAACUGAGACGUUAUUUUUGGGAUUUGCUCAACCUCACAGUUUCGCUUCCCUUUGUUUACGCCAUUGUAGCACGUGUGUAGCCCUGAUCAUAAGGGGCAUGAUGAUUUGACGUCAUCCCCACCUUCCUCCAGGUUAUCCCUGGCAGUCUCUCUAGAGUGCCCAGCYUAACCGCUGGCUACUAARGAUAAGGGUUGSSCUCGUUGCGGGACUUAACCCAACAUUUUACRACACGAGCUGACGACAACCAU